rnacentral:rRNA from 1 species
GACGAACGCUGGCGGCGUGCCUAAUACAUGCAAGUUGAGCGCUGAAGGUUGGUACUUGUACCAACUGGAUGAGCAGCGAACGGGUGAGUAACGCGUGGGGAAUCUGCCUUUGAGCGGGGUACAACAUUUGGAAACGAAUGCUAAUACCGCAUAAAAACUUUAAACACAAGUUUUAAGUUUGAAAGAUGCAAUUGCAUCACUCAAAGAUGAUCCCUCGUUGUAUUAGCUAGUUGGUGAGGUAAAGGCUCACCAAGGCGGUGAUACAUAGCCGACCUGAGAGGGUGAGCGGCCACAUUGGGAGUGAGACAGGGCCCAAACGGAUACAGGAGGCGGCAGGAGGGAUUCGUGGGGAAGGGGCGAAGGUCAGAGCGAGAAACGUCGAGGGAGUGAAGAAGGAUGUCGGGUGGUAGAACACGGUUGGUAGGGAAGAACGUGGGUGAGAGUGGAAAGCUCAUCAAGUGACGGUAACUACCCAGAAAGGGACGGCUAACUACGUG